GCCCGGGCUACGCCGAGUCCUGCCCGUCCGGAGCGGCCCCCCGAGAAGAUCGAGGGCAGGAGUGGGGGACCCACAGGUUCCACGCCGGCCCGUGCUGCGGCACGAGUCGGCUCGGGGUGAAGCCACCACCUGGUGGCGGGGCACCUUCCAGCCCUAACCCGACAGCUCACCUCACAGGCGUGGGAAAGGACCA
rnacentral:sRNA from 2 species